AGAAAUGCACACCGAUUCAGCAGGGAGGGGACGUGUCGAGUGGCCGGCUGGCUGUGAAACUGGCAGCAGUGUGGAGUUGCUGCAGCUGCUCCGUGGGGCCCCACAAGCCAUGGGGCCGGGAGCAGUCGCCCUGAUUCACACCCCCACCCCUCCAGAAUGGCCCUGCUUGAGGAUCUGCUCCAUGAUUUUUCCAGGGGCUGAGUUGAGGCUCACUGUUCACAUCAGGUUAACCCUGAAAGCUUUUGACCUGCUGCAUCCAAAGCGUAUUCCAGUACUAAGUGUAUGGAAGUUCAAGACACAAGCAGACAUCAAGACAGCCAUGACAUCAGUCCAGGUGUCUUCUCUUUUGAUACUGGAUAUAUGAUACCCCUAAGCUGAACAAGGGCCAGGUGUAGUGAAACAAGCAGGUGGUAGUAGCCAGGAUAGGAGCUGUUCCUGAGAGAGUGGCUAUAACUGCACAGAUGGCAGGCAUCCAAGCAGCUUGGGAGCAGAUCUCCAGACAGCCCAGAAGGAACAACUGCAGACAGCUGAGUUCAGCCCAGCAGAGGAAGGCACGCUAGCCAUCAAGCCUAAAUGGAAACCUCUGUGCAUGGCUACAGAGCCACCUGACAGAGCCAUGGCUGCAGCUUAGGGUUGGGACUUUGGAGGCACAUAAGUAGGGACCUACUGCAAGCGCGACUGCACUUUUCAAAAUAAAUGUAAAAUCAGGCAUUUUCUGUGAGAAAUGGUGGGCUCUGCAAUUUCAGGCUCACUGCAACCCCCCUCCCCCCCCCCAAAUCCUUACUGGCAAGCAGAGGGAACCCCUGCAGUCUUGAAGAAUGGGGGAAGUGGGGAGCAGAGGGGAGGGGAGAGGGAGAAGGGGAAAAGAGGGGGGGCAGGGCUGCUCGCAGCAGGCAGCAAGAAGGCUACAAGCAGCCCUGGGCUCUGUGGCUGCUGGCAGGAGCUUGCCUGGGCCCAACCACCUGUGACAGGCAGCUGCUUGCAGACUCCCUGCUGCACGCAGCCCAGGCUCUAGAGCCAGUGGCAGGGGCUUGCCCAGGCCUGGGCCAGCCAUGGCAGGAAGCUAGGAGGUUGCCAGUGACAGUACCAGGCCCCUCAGAGCCUUGGCCUGGCUCCUUGCCAGCAGUGGCUGCUUGCACACCUCAGUUUAAUCAGUGUAAUUAAGUUGUAGUUUUGGGCCAUCUGGCAAUCUGGGGGGGGCGGGCAGGGCUAGUGGACCCUUCUGCCACUCAGAGGUGUGGGGGGGCCUUGCCGUACUCAGCACUUGGAAAUGGCAGCCAGCCAUGUGAUCUGCCCAUGUAAUUGGCUGGCCAUCACCUUGAGUUAGGUAUACCCCUACACACAAGACUAGUGCCUGAGAGCAGGCAGGCAGUCUGGCUACUCAGGUAGCAGGGAGAGGAGCUUCUGAGCAGGAUGGCUGUAGGAGGGGGACUGACUGGCACCCAUGAAGUCCCUGAGAGCUGCAAGUAAAGAGGAAGUGGAACUUGCAGGAAAGUUGAGACCCAGCGAGGGAAGAGCUUUGUUAGGUUACCAGUGGGCUUGUGUUUAUGUUAUUAUUAAAAAUGUCAAACUAGGAGUUGGUAUAGUGUCAUGUGGAUGUUGGCUUAGAAACGGUAUUUAAAGGCCUGUUUUUUGGGAAUUGGCUUAUAGGUAUAGAUAUAUGCAUUAUAAGGGGUCAAGAUGGGCAGCAGGGGUUAACUGGAUUUCUAAAGAGCUUGGAAGACACAUGCACAGCUUCUUAUAGCCCUGGAAGUAGACAAGCUGUCUAGCCCAACAAGGCCAAUGGAUGGACGUAGCCUAAGAAUGAAGGGAGGCAUCCCAUAACACAAGAUCACAGCCUUCAAGUCAGGCAGGCUGUCUAGCGCAACAAGGCCAACAAGGACACACAGUCUAGGAAACAGCCUGGGAACCAAAGGAAGUAUGUACCAUACAGUCCCAUAACACAAGUUAAGUGACACCAGCAACAAGGCCUCAAAGAGCAAGGGGACCUAAGUCCUGAUUUUGGGGGAAUAGACCAAAUUAGGAGAAGGCCUGGAAGGCUACGUGGGCAUGUGACCACAGAGAGACAACCAACCAGAGAUAGCCACAGAUGAAGUCAUCAAGGGGGAAGGAGAAUACAAAAGAAGAGACUUGAAGUUAACAAAGGGUAUCUCUCAUCCCUCCCUGUCCUUCUUUGUUGUCCCUACCCCAUCUCCUCCAUGAGAGGGGUCCCCAUCCCUGUCCCUGCCCCCGGGAAGGGUCCCUGAGGCCACCAUGGACUGAAGGCCUGUCUCAUGCACCCCACUGGAGGGGGGCUGUAGGCCUCAGCAUCCCACGUCCAGACUGCUGAUGCCUAAGAGAGAGAGCCUCAGAGUGGAGCCUGCACCCUGACCAGAUGUACUUUGACUCUGAUGACAGUCCUAGAAUUGAUAACCCAUCGACAGCAAAUGAAUCCUGUGAGCCACGACAGAGUACACUUACUCAGCUUCAGAAUCACUACAAGCCCAUAUAUUAAAUGAAGUACAACAGUUUAACCAAUGCUAUUGCAAAAUGGAUAGCUAUGGACUGCAGACCACUCAACAUUGUAAACUACAGAAGGCUAAGAGAGAUUAUUCAAAUUGCAUCUUCUAAAUCAGUCAUAUGCGCUGCCUUCCCAAGGAACCAUUGCAUCAUGAAUCUAUAUCACAACAAGAAGACUACUAAGUUGGAGCUUCUAAAAAUACAUAAGCUGUUGCUUUGACUAGUAAUCACUGUACAUCCUUGAGCAAUCACAGCUAUCUUGGAGGCACAGUACACCUGACUGACACUGCAUGGACACUGCAGUCAUUUGCUUUAGCAGCAAUGCAUACCAAAGAGAGACAUUAUACUGAAACAUGUGCAGAGCAUUUCUGGGAUGUUACUAAAGAAUAGAAUAUUCAAGAAAAGGUAACCACAAUAGUACUGAUGAGUGCACCUAAUAUGAAAGCAGCAGCCAGUCUUUUGCCUUUUGAACACCUGAUGUGCAUCACUCUGUCUGCAGGGAUCCAUCACAGGAGCAUACAGUAAUGGUGGUUUUGAAAACAUGUUGGCAAAAUGUAGAAAAAUUGCAGGCCAUUUUAAACACAGUCCUGUUAACAGUGCAAAGCUAGAAAUACAACAUGCUGCAAGUGGACAGAAACAAGAACCUCUCAUACAAGAUAUUUCUACCAGGUGGAACUCCACAUUGGGUAUGGCUCAGUGCCUGCUUAGAUAUAAAGCCGCUAUCACAGCCACGAUACCUCUUCAAAAGCACAAUCUACCAGUGCUGACAGGUAGUGAUUUUGAAAAACUGAAAAGAGCUGGAAACUUUACUUGAGCCUUGCAGGUUUGUAACUGAACUCCUUGGAGGAGAAUUGUAUGUCUCCUGCUCCAUGAUUUUACCUGCACUAUGCUAUGUAUUCCAUGUUAUGGCAGUCUCAGAUGAUGACCCAACAUGUUGCUCCAUUUAAAAACACUUUCACUGCAGAUUUAACAAAAUGCAAAGAGAGUACCAAUACGGGAUUUCUAAAAAUAGCUACAGCACUCAAUCUAAGGUUUUAGAGUCUGAAGUGCCUUCCAAAAUCUGAGAGGGAUGAGGUGUGGAACGUGCCUGUCAUGGCAUCCAGACUUUACCCAAUAUAGUUUGGGGUCUGGGCCUCUAACACACUCUAUUGGUGAGACAGCCAAUAAUGAUCCCUGGGACAUUUGUAUCUGCAGUUUGACUAAACUCUUGCACCCUCACCCACCAUGACUUGAUGAUAUAAUAUUUAAACUGGGAGGAAGAGUAUGCAAAUAGCUUCAGUUCUGAAAUUCUCAACCUCAACUUCAAAGGCCGCCUCCUUCCCCUAUAUCCCUUACCCAUUCCACAACGUAUAAAGUUGUUAACUUAAUCAAGAGUAAAGUUUACCCUAACGGGCCACACUGGAAAGAAAUAAAAAAUUAA